rnacentral:rRNA from 1 species
UAGGGAAUCUUCGGCAAUGGACGGAAGUCUGACCGAGCAACGCCGCGUGAGUGAAGAAUGUUUUCGGAUCGUAAAGCUCUGUUGUUAGAGAAGAACGUUGGUAGGAGUGGAAAAUCUACCAAGUGACGGUAACUAACCAGAAAGGGACGGCUAACUACGUGCCAGCAGCCGCGGUAAUACGUAGGUCCCGAGCGUUGUCCGGAUUUAUUGGGCGUAAAGCGAGCGCAGGCGGUUCUUUAAGUCUGAAGUUAAAGGCAGUGGCUUAACCAUUGUAAGAUUUGGAAACUGGAGGAGUUGAGUGCAGAAGGGGAGAGUGGAAUUCCAUGAGUAGAGGUGAAAUGAGUAGAUAUAUGGAGGAACACCGGUGGAGAAAGCGGAUCUCUGGUCUGUAACUGACGAUGAGGCUCGAAAGCGUGGGGAGCAAACAGG